AAUUUUUGGAUCCGUAUCUAAGCUCUGGGGCGAUGUUGAUGUGGGAGUGAUAGUAUGUGGUCCUCCAAAUCUGGAGUCAAGUGUUGCUGCAGAAUGCAGAUCAAUUAACAUGUGCAGAAAAUCCGAUGAUCCGGUUUUCCAUUUCAACAGUCACUCUUUCAGUUUCUAGUUUCUAUUUCCUAUUUUGUUGGGACUACAAACAUCCAUGUCUCUUAUUAGCAAUAAUGUCUGAUAAAUGAAUCUAAGUGCAGAUGAAAGCAAAACCUAUAGUUUAUGAAAGAAUACUCACAGAAUGCAGCAUUACUUGAAACUUCUUAUACUCGCAUAAGUUACUGUCACCUGAGUAAGAGGAGUACAUAAACUGAAAGCGGAAUCAGGAAGCCAUUCUACCGAUGAAGUCUCAAGAUGUUGUCAAAUAAGCUCAUAUUAGUAUACAAAAAGCAGGUUGUUAGUUAUGCUAAUUUAGUUAGUUAUGUAACAGCACAACUAUCUCAAGGUAGAAAAGCAGCUCCUUGCCCUCACUUUCAAGAAUGAAGUUUGCUUACCUGUAAACUUUUAGUUGCCAUCUCCAAUUUCACUUGCUAAUAUAGAUGUUGCGACUUCAAAAGCACUAUUUCUAUUUACAAGUGUCCUACCUCUGUUACCUUGCAAAACAUUUUUACCGCAAGGCAAAUCCAUAACCAAACUUUCACUCUUGAACUUGAGUCUUAUUAAGAGUCUUUUCCCAAUUUUAUUUCCCACUAACAACAAACAAAUCAGGGAGAAAAAUUUUGAGAAAUGAAAAUUUGAAAAUAUUAACCGUUAACUUGUAAGUAAGAUCUCUAAGGUUUAGGGCAGAAACCUUAAUUCCAGUCCGCCCAUCAAAAGAAGUUCCGUAUCUACUUAAUUGAUUUUAACAUGUUGUUGCACAAUGUAUAGCAUGUUCUCAGAUGUAUGUGCGUGAAAUGAUUUAGUAUAUUUAUGAAAAAUGCGUCCGCAUUAUGAGUAUGGAUUUUGAAAAAUUUUGACAUAGUAUGAUUUAUUUAUUAAAGAGAUGAUAGCAUGGCAAUAUAUGAAAUCUAUUCUUAUGAUAAUAUUGGAGUUUCAAUGUAUGAGCGAUGAUGCUGAAAUAUAGAAGAGUUUUGGCUAUCAAGAUUUUAAUUUGGGACUAUUGUAACGUAAGGGAAGCUAUUAUAGUUUUUCUGUAGAAUUUUUCGGAAAAAUUUUUAAGUCACAGUUUGAGGAUCCACAAGAAUUGAUAUAUAAGAGUGCAUGAUGUAUAUUAGAUUAAGUUUAUGAUCUUAGCAUGUUUAGUCAUGUGCCUCUGGCUCAAAAUUGACAUCCGUUGUCUAAUCUUUUAGGACUAAAUAAUGAGUGUUACAUAUAUAAUAUGUUGGACCUACUCAUUUCUAUGAGUGUCAAUGUGUUUAUUCUAAUUCUCCAAUCAGGUAAAAUAAAACUUACCACCUUCAUCUUCAUUAAUACAUCAUACUGAUAAUGAAAAAACAAAUAGAUGUAAUGAUCUUCUAAAUAAAAUGUACCAAAUGAAAGUUCCUCCGACCAUAAACAGUUUAAAGUAUUUGUACUAGAGAGUUUGUCCCUCAUAUUCACUGAAAGAAGAUGUAUUUCGUAUCUCAUAUUGUACAAUGACUUUCCUAUAUAUAGUCAUACAGCUCAAUACCCUAACUAUAUACAAUUAGGAAACUAAUCUAUACAAAUCAGAUCAAACUAAUUAUACCAACAGAAUAUUACAUAUUCUAUUAUAAUAGAAUAUGUAAUAUUCUGUUGGUAUAAUUAGUUUGAUCUGAUUUGUAUAGAUUAGUUUCCUAAUUGUAUAUAGUUAGGGUAUUGAGCUGUAUGACUAUAUAUAGGAAAGUCAUUGUACAAUAUGAGAUACGAAAUACAUCUUCUUUCAGUGAAUAUGAGGGACAAACUCUCUAGUACAAAUACUUUAAACUGGUCGAUCUUCUUUCUUCUUCUAUUUCUAUUCCUUCUUAUUCUCUUCAUCGCCAAUUUUAUUCCUUUCUGAUGGCGGACAAAAUUCAAAAUUCAUACGUAAUAUACAAUUUAUUCGAAAUUGAUCAAUUUUAAUAGGAAUUUUGAACUAAGAGACUAAAUAAAUAUAUUUUUUAACUGAAAUGAGUGUGUCGAUUAAGUCACUGAGCAAAAAUGAAAAUGCGUUUAAAUUGAGAGAAAACCAUGUCAUUAUUUUUUUUUCCAUAAUGUCUUUCACACACGUUAGCGGGUCAAAAAAUGGAUCAAAUUCAUCUUUGGGUUGAAAAUUCUUAUUAAAUUGAUUAAAAACUCCAUUUUGGAGUACAUUGAAAUCAUGAAUGUUGUUGGGGUAAAUUUAGCAUUAUUUGAACAAAUAAUAUGGACUAACUAAAGUUUUUGUAUUUUCAUAGGUAUGAAAAUCUUGUUUUAGUAGCAGGUGGAAUUGGGAUAUCGCCAUUCAUUGCCGUUCUGAGUGAUGUUAUUCAUCGUAUUAAUCAAGGAAAGACAUGUCUUCCGAGAAACAUUACUCUUGUUUGGGCUGUGAAAAAGUCAGAUGAGCUUUCUCUUCUUUCCACAAUUAACACGAACUCACUUGUUCCUUUACCUUUUGAUGUGCUUCAUCUCGAGAUACUUAUUUAUGUCACUCGAGAACAAGAAUCUCCAAUGGUAAGUUUCAUAUUAAAUUAUUCUUGCUGCUAAUUUUCUUCUACAAGAAAAUAAUUUCUUUCAAAUUCAGUAAUUAGCUUGAUCGAUAACAAAUUAUUGUCACUUCUAUCAGGAAAUCGGAGCAUUGUACGAGACUGUGAGAUCUGCCUCUUCUAUCUCUUCUUUCUCCAGUGGGAAUGCCAUAUCUGCUCUAGUUAGCACAGGGAAUAAAACAUGGUUUGGAGCUUAUGUGAUAUCAUCAACAGUUGGCUUGGUCCUGUUAAUGACUUUACUAAAUGUCUUUUAUAUAACCCCAUUUAAUAUAACUAAUUGGUGGCAUCAAGGAUUGCUUCUUCUAGCCUGCAUGGUUGGCGGUGUUGUAAUCUUUGGUGGUGCUGUGGUUGCUUUAUGGCAUAUCUGGGAGAAGAGAAACUUAGUAGAGAUCAAUGGCGGACAGGGAAAUGAACACACAGUAAACGAGGAUUCAUUUUUGGAAAAUCUUGCCGGCUCAACUACUGUUCAGUAUGGAUCAAGACCAGACUUUAAAGGUACAUUUAAAUUCAUAUGAUCUUAAAUCACAGUGAACUAAAUAAAAUAAUGAAAUGUCAAUAAUGACUUCUCUGCCUGCAGAAAUUUUUGGAUCCAUAUCUAGGCUCUGGGGCGAUGUUGAUGUGGGAGUGAUAGUAUGUGGUCCUCCAAAUCUGGAGUCAAGUGUUGCUGCAGAAUGCAGAUCAAUUAACAUGGGCAGAAAAUCCGAUGAUCCGGUUUUCCAUUUCAACAGUCACUCUUUCAGUUUCUAGUUUCUAUUUCCUAUUUUGUUGGGACUACAAACAUCCAUGUCUCUUAUUAGCAAUAAUGUCUGAUAAAUGAAUCUAAGUGCAGAUGAAAGCAAAACCUAUAGUUUAUGAAAGAACUACUCACAGAAUGCAGCAUUACUUGAAACUUCUUAUACUCGCAUAAGUUACUGUCACCUGAGUAAGAGGAGUACAUAAACUGAAAGCGGAAUCAGGAA
rnacentral:lncRNA from 1 species